CCCCACACUAACUUGGCAGAAUGCACUCUUUUUGCUGGGGAGAAAGAAGAGGGGAAGGAUGAUUACUCAGAGACUGCUCAAGUCACUCUGAGGUUGACAAACCUGAGGAAGUCAUCACUUCUUUAUCCUGUGCCUUGGAAUAAAGACAUAUGAAAUGAAACCACUCCAACUCUAAGCUUGGAGUCAAGUACGACCCAUUCAAAGUCAAACAGACAAGAUUAGGAAACCAAUGCGAACCUACAGACCAAAGACUAGAAGAAAAAAGAUUAACUGCUCCUUUUCCUCCACAUUCUUAAGGCCUUCUAAGAAAUUUCCUUCCCAAUUCACUUGAUGCUGCUUGCUUCACUGAAGCUACAGGUAGAAGCUGACUACCAAAGGAGAAGGCUGAGGAGAAAUUGCUCCAUGAGAUAAGGCAAGACAUUUAUCCCUGAAUGCUGUCUCUCCAAAUGCACAGAAACAUGUCAUAAAGUGUGGGACUAGGGUCUCUAAAGGACAUGUAAUACCUCAUUUCUGGAGAUAUGGUCUAACAUGAAAGGGUCAUAAUCGAUGGUCAAGUCACAAAAUUUAUUUCUAGAGUCAUUUUACUAAAUAUGGAGAGAUCUGCAAAAAUUGUAUGCCUGGGGAAAAUCCCAAUCAGACCAACUGACCCAGACCAAUCAAUGACAACUCAGAGUAGUAAUGAAAAAUUCAUUUAGACUAACUCCCAUAAUUUGCUAAGAGGCACUGUACUAAGUAUAUAACACAAUAUCUCAUUGUGUGAUCCUUAUAAUAGCUCUAUGAGGUACAUGUCAUUCUUCCUAUUUUUUAGACAGAAAAGUCUCUGAUAAAUAACUUGUCCAAAGUCACGUAUUUACCACAUUUACCAGAGUUAUAACCCAAAUCGGUCUGACUCUAAAUGCUCUUAGCCAUUCAGUCCUACUGCAAAAUAAGCACACCAGUGGAGAGCAAUAGAGAAUGGGAACGCAGUCACAAUGGGAGCCUGUCAUUGGAUCUCAUGUAUGCAGAGGUUCCUUCUUCCAGGAGAGCUUUGCCCUUGUCCUCAUGAACUUUUAUGUCAAUACAUUCAAUGCACUGUAUUGGAUUUCUAGAUUGGGAGCUAAAAAAAGAACAGAUUUCUAAAUAUCAGCUAUCUUAUUUUACCAGCUUGCCUUAAACCAGUUACAGAAUAUCUCUAUUUAUAAUUAUUUUUACCUAAAAAUAGGAAUAAAACUACUCUUCAAUAUGUGAUUUUUAAAAAGGAUGAUAAAAUCAAAGGAAUUUAGAAUAAUCCUUGCACAUAGUGGGCACUUAGAAACUUUUGCUUCCUUAUUGACUCCCUUCUCCUUACAUUUCAAUCUUGUUCCAUGUCUCAUGGCCUCUUCAGAGCAGAGACUAUGUAGUAUUUACCUUCAUAUCUUCAGACAAAAUGCUUAGCAUAUAGUCGGUGGUCAGUUACUGGAAAUGAUUUAAAGACAUUGAGAAUUACUUCCUUUGAAAUUUUAAGAGGUGUGGUAAAACUUUGGUUUCAGAAUAUAUCUUUAUUGAUUUUUUAAAUAUGUAUUUUUCUUAUAUAUUAUGGUCAACCUCUUGGGAUCUUUAGAAAAGAACAUUUUCCAGUUUUUUUGAAUCUCGGGCCAAGAGAAUUAGAACACUCCAUAAAAUUACACAGGUAUAUCUGAUAAAGGCCAUACUCUAUUUUUCCAUAUAAGUAUAAAACUGUUGUAUAAAAAAUUACCUUCUGGCCAGGUGUAGUGGCUCACACCUGUAAUUUCAGCACUUUGGGAGGCCAAGGCAUGCAGAUCACUUGAGGCCAGGAGUUCAAGGCCAGCCUGGCCAACAUGGCGAAACCCCCCUCUACUAAAAUACAAAUAUUAGCUGGGCCUGGUGGCACGUGCCUGUAAUCCUAGCUACUGUGGAGGCUGAGGUGGGAGAAUUGCUUGAACCCAGGAGGCGGAGGUUGAAGUGAGCCAAGAUCAUGCCACUGCACUCUAGCCUGGGCAACAGAGCAAGACUCUGUCUCAAAUAUAUAAAUAAAUAAAUUACCUUGUAAAAUAUUAUCCUCUUCCCUCAAAUAUAUACAGUAAAAGAUGUCUGUCUAAUAUUAUAAUAUAUUUUGUUUAGCAAAAAUACAUUAGUCAGUUAUUUAUCUUAAAUUUCCUUUAUCCUCCUGAGUCUAACAUGUUUAUUUUUAUACUGGACUUUGGUCUAUCCAUUUCACAUAUGGGUCAACUAUUUCCUAUACAGAUAGUUUAGUUAUCUGUUAGCUGCAUAGCAACCUAAUCCCAAAAUAGUGUUUUAACAUUUCUUCACCAUCGCUGAGUUGUCUGGACUCAGCUGAAUGGUUGUUCUGCUUCCUAUGAUGUCAGCGAGGGCUAUAGUCAUGUGAGGUCAUACGUGGCCUACAACAUCCAAGAUGGCUGCCUCCUAUAACUGGCAACGGAUGUAAGCUGUUGGUUGAGAAAUGCUAGUAAGCAGGUCUCCUAAGUUUUCCUCCACAUGACCUCUCCAUGUGGCUGGUUUCUGAGAAGGAGUACCCAAAGAGUGAACAUUUCAAGAGAAGGAAGCAGAAGCUAAAGGUCCCUUAAGGCCUCCUUUCUGUGCAUUCAGUUGCUCAAAGGCCAGCCCAGAUUCAAAGGAGGAGAAAUAAACACUCCUGUUGAUCUGAUGUGCAUUAAAGAGAAGAAAUUAGUGAGUCAUUUUUAAAGACUGAUCAUUAAAUAUAGUUACCCUGUUAUAUUUUUUCAUAAAUGAUUUCCUUCUCCAUUCUACCCCUAUAAAUUUUUCUCUAUAUGUGAGAAUUUAAAAUCUGUGGUUUCUUUCUAUGUACUAAUCUACACAUAGUUGUGUUUAUUAUUUGUCUUUGAUGAAUAUAUUAUAUGAUACUGAAAGCCUG
rnacentral:lncRNA from 1 species